AUGCCAACCUUCGCGCUCACGGUGCUGCGCAUACCAAAGAAGUUCAUCAAGGAGAUCGACAAGUCAAGAAGGCGCUUCCUCUGGGCGGGAGACGAAGAAGUUUCGGGCGGCAAAUGCAAGGUCAGUUGGGUAUCAGUGACCAAACCGGAGCAACUGGGCGGGCUGGGUAUCCCUGACCUCAGCCGUUUUGCCCGGGCACUACGGAUGCGCUGGCUAUGGCUCUCCUGGAGGCAGCCGGCUAGGCCUUGGGUUGGCACCGAAACGCCAUGCGAUGCUGCUGACCGAGCCCUUUUCGCGGCUUCUACGGUGGUGACCAUCGGCAAUGGUGCUACCGCAUCCUUCUGGUCGUGCUCCUGGCUGGGAGGGAGGCAACUCUGCUUGGCAUACCCAGAUUUGUUCGCUCGGGCCACCCGCAAGAACAGAAGCGUAAAGGAGGCCUUGACUGAUGAUCGAUGGAUCCUCGAUCUUCGAAACGGUGACUACACUGACAUUGUGCAGCAAGUGGUGUAG
rnacentral:rRNA from 1 species